UGGAUGAGGGGAUGUGAGAAAAUGAGC
rnacentral:piRNA from 1 species